rnacentral:tRNA from 1 species
GUUUCCGUAGUUGAACAACAACGGUGGUUUUUCAAGUCAUUAGUCCUGGUUAGAGUCCUGGCGGAAAUU